rnacentral:lncRNA from 1 species
UGACAUCCACAACCUAGGAAAGCUACUCCAAUAAUUGGUAUCAGAGCACAAAUUAUGUGGAGAAAGAAGGAGACUUCAGAAGUUGAAGAUCUUCAAAGGCUGAAAUUUCAGCAAGGAUCCUGUCAUGGUAUUUCUCAAAUCUCUUGGAGUUUUGUUAUGUUUUUGGUUUAGUUCCAGCCAUGAAAAGAAACAUGAAGGUUGAUUUUGAGAAGUUUGAUGGAAAAUAAAUUUUUUUCAUGUAGAAUGUUUGGGUAGAAGAUCUUUGGUUCAAGCAGAUCUGGAUCAGGCAUUGGAGGAGA